ensembl:misc_RNA Metazoa_SRP Metazoan signal recognition particle RNA
GCUGGGUGUGGUGGCGGACACCUGUAAUCCCAGCUGCUUGGGAGGCUGAGGCAGGUGAAUUGCUUGAGCCCAGGAGACAGAGGUUACAGUGAGCUGAUCAUGCCAUUGCACUCCAGCCUGGGCGAUAGAGCAAGACUCCGCCUUAA